rnacentral:rRNA from 1 species
AGAGCUGAGGCACGAUAGUAUCCCUCCUUGCUUGCAAGGAGGGAAUAAUUUCCCCAAGCGAACUUCCAAGAAAAACCUCUAAGCUAUAGGUAUAUACAGCUCGUACCGUAAACCGACACAGGUAGUCGAGGAGAGUAUCCUAAGGCGCUCGAGUGAAUCAUGGCUAAGGAACUAGGCAAAAUGGCCUCGUAACUUCGGGAGAAGAGGCGCCCCAUUAGAAAUAAGGGGGCCGCAGUGAAAGGGCCCAGGCGACUGUUUAGCAAAAACACAGGACUCUGCGAAAUCGAAAGAUGAAGUAUAGGGUCUGACACCUGCCCGGUGCUGGAAGGUUAAGGAAGGGGGUUAGCGCAAGCGAAGCUCUUGACUGAAGCCCCAGUAAACGGCGGCCGUAACGAUAACGGUCCUAAGGUAGCGAAAUUCCUUGUCGGGUAAGUUCCGACCUGCACGAAUGGUGUAACGAUCUGGGCACUGUCUCGGCCAUGAGCUCGGUGAAAUUGAAGUAUCGGUGAAGAUGCCGGUUACCCGCAGUGGGACGAAAAGACCCCGUGCACCUUUACUAUAGCUUCACAUUGAGCUUGAGUAUAAGAUGUGUAGGAUAGGUGGGAGACUAUGAAGCUGUCACGCCAGUGAUGGUGGAGUCAUCGUUGAAAUACCACCCUUCUUAUACUUAGGUUCUAAUCCUGUUGAAGACGGGAGACAUUGUGUGGUGGGUAGUUUGACUGGGGUGGUCGCCUCCAAAAGAGUAACGGAGGCUUGCAAAGGUUCCCUCAGCAUGGUCGGUAAUCAUGCGUAGAGCGUAUUAGUACAAGGGAGCUUGACUGAGAGACCGACGGGUCGAACAGGUAGGAAACUAGGCUAAAGUGAUCCGGUGGUUCCGUAUGGAAGGGCCAUCGCUCAUAGGAUAAAAGGUACGCCGGGGAUAACAGGCUUAUCUCCCCCAAGAGCUCACAUCGACGGGGAGGUUUGGCACCUCGAUGUUGGCUCGUCACAUCCUGGGGCUGGAGAAGGUCCCAAGGGUUGGGCUGUUCGCCCAUUAAAGUGGCACGCGAGCUGGGUUCAGAACGUCGCAAGACAGUUCGGUCUCUAUCUACUGCGGGCGUGGGAAUAUUGAGAAGAUCUGACACUAGUACGAGAGGACCGAGUUGGACAGACCUCUAGUGCACCUGUUGUGGCGCCAGCUGCAUCGCAGGGUAGCUAUGUCUGGAACGGAUAAGCGCUGAAAGCAUCUAAGCACGAAGCCAACUUCAAGAUGAGUAUUCCAUCCCGGCGCGAGUCGGGAGAAGGGUUGUUGUAGAUCACGACGUUGAUAGGCUAU